CCCUUAGAUGUUCUGGGCCGCACGCGUGCUACACUGAGUGGAUCAGCGGGUCAGGUUGCGCGAAAGUGUUUGCUAAUCUUUAAAUCCGCUCGUGAUGGGGAUUGACGGUUGCAAUUUUCCGUCAUGAACGAGGAAUACCUUGUAAGCGCGGGUCAUCAUCCCGCGCUGAAUACGUCCCUGCCCUUUGUACACACCGCCCGUCGCUCCUACCGAUUGAGUGGUCCGGUGAGGCUUUGGGAUCUGAGCGGAAAGAGCGUUUCGCUGUUUCUGCCCGGAAAACUCAGUCGAACCUUAUCAUUUAGAGGAAGGAGAAGUCGUAACA
rnacentral:rRNA from 1 species